CCUACGGGGGGCAGCAGUGGGGAAUAUUGGACAAUGGGCGAAAGCCUGAUCCAGCCAUGCCGCGUGUGUGAAGAAGGCCUUCGGGUUGUAAAGCACUUUCAGUGGGGAAGAAAGCCUUGGGGCUAAUACCCUCGAGGAAGGACAUCACCCACAGAAGAAGCACCGGCUAACUCCGUGCCAGCAGCCGCGGUACUACGGAGGGUGCGAGCGUUAAUCGGAAUUACUGGGCGUAAAGCGCGCGUAGGCGGUCUGAUAAGCCGGUUGUGAAAGCCCCGGGCUCAACCUGGGAACGGCAUCCGGAACUGUCAGGCUAGAGUGCAGGAGAGGAAGGUAGAAUUCCCGGUGUAGCGGUGAAAUGCGUAGAGAUCGGGAGGAAUACCAGUGGCGAAGGCGGUCUUCUGGACUGACACUGACGCUGAGGUGCGAAAGCGUGGGUAGCAAACAGGAUUAGAUACCCGUGUAGUC
rnacentral:rRNA from 1 species